rnacentral:tRNA from 2 species
CCUUCCUUGGCGCAAUUGGUCAGCGCACUUGGCUGAAACCCGAGAGGUCCAGGUUCGACUCCUGGGGGAAGGA